rnacentral:rRNA from 1 species
GCGCAGCAGUCGCGAAAACUUCACAAUGGGGGAAACCCCGAUGAGGGAAUUCCAAGUGCCAGCACAUUGUGUUGGCUGUUCUCUGGUCUAAAAAACCGGAGAAGUAGGGGCCGGGUAAGACGGGUGCCAGCCGCCGCGGUAAUACCCGCGGCCCAAGUGGUGGUCGAUAUUAUUGAGCCUAAAACGUCCGUAGCCGGUUUUGUAAAUCCUUGGGUAAAUCGACCAGCUUAACUGUUCGAAGUCCGGGGAGACUGCAAGACUUGGGAUCGGGAGAGGUGAGAGGUACUUCUGGGGUAGGGGUAAAAUCCUGUAAUCCUAGAAGGACCACCGGUGGCGAAGGCGUCUCACUAGAACGAAUCCGACGGUGAGGGACGAAGCCCUGGGGCGCAAACGGGAUUAGAUACCCCGGUAGUCCAGGGUGUAAACGCUGCGGGCUUGGUGUUGGGGGUCCUUUGAGGGCGCCCAGUGCCGGAGAGAAGUUGUUAAGCCUGCUGCUUGGGGAGUACGUCCGCAAGGAUGAAACUUAAAGGAAUUGGCGGGGGAGCACCGCAACGGGAGGAGCGUGCGGUUCAAUUGGAUUCAACGCCGGA